AGUCCCGUAGUCUAGCGGUCAAGGAUAAUCGGCUUUGGACCGAUUGACCCAGGUUCGAAUCCUGGCGGGACUA
rnacentral:tRNA from 1 species